rnacentral:lncRNA from 1 species
ACAGAAAAUCAUUCGUUGAGUUAUUUUUAUUUGAAGCAAAUUAAUUUUCUUUAAAGAUUGAAUGUGCCACCGACUAUUUUUUUUCUAACCAAGUAAUAGUAAAUAAGAGUACUUAAAUUAUAAAACACAAAUUACUCUAAACUGAACUUAAAAUAAUCGUAAAUAUAUACCUAGUUAAAUUUAAGGUUCAUAACCGAAAUUGCCCACAGCCACAGCUCCACCGGACAACCCUAGAUCCUCCCUUGGGUCCUGCAACUCCCGUGAAACCUCAAAUCUCCAACUUACUAACUUUCAGAAGAUGAGAGAUCUCUCGAUCGGAUAUCACAGACGAUUAUACUAACUUCAGUGUUUAAUUCUAGCUAGCUAGGCCUUGGUAUUUUGAGCUAAUGUGGCUAGCUAGAGGAGUGUUUCGACAUCUAGGAAGUAAUUAGAUUAUAAACAAUUUAUAAACAAAAAAGAAUGCAUAAUUAAAGAAUAUGGAUUUCUCAUACAUCUGUCAUAUUUCAGCGAGUCGUCGAAGGUGCCGUAGCCGGAGAUGGCACAGGUGCGGCUGCAGAAACGCCGUCGGCGAUACUAGAUGCAGGGACAUUGCAAAAAGAAGCACAUGCAUUGCGACAUUCUGUAGGGGAGGCGCCCGUCUCUACCUGACACUGCGGCAUGCAUUCCAAUACACACGUUGUUUUCAUUCCUUCUCCAACUCUCAUCAUUAAUGUCAUCAUCAUCAUCAUCAUCAUCAUCAUCAUCGCAGUUGAUGUCGCCGUGUUUAUUUUGUUGAUCAUCAUGCAUGAUCCUUGUAUGAUUACUAAUAUUGCUUUUGUUAUAUGAUCAGUAUGUAGUUUCUUAUUGAAUAAUGCG